rnacentral:lncRNA from 1 species
GGCUUAUUGAGCGGAUUCUGACCGCGUGCUAGGCGCCGCGGUGGCUAUAGAGACUUGGAAGAGCCGGGCUCUUCCCUCAAGGGGCAACCCUCCCAACUGCCGCUUUCAAUAAGCCUCGUACUUGUGUUUUUUCAUUUGUCCAGGUUCAUUUUGACAAAGGUUAUGUUUAUGAAGAUUCGCAACCAUUUUCGUCUGCUUGUUAACCCCACACGAUAGAUGAGGUAAUUUGAGAUUGAGUGGACUUGCCAAGCUUACGAGUCUAGGAUGUGGAGAAACUGAAAAUCAAAUUGCCACCUCAGGGCCCUUUCCAUCUCCCCAGAAGGCCUCUCAAACUUAGGUGACCUUUUCCUAAAGCCGCCAAUAACUACAUUCGCAUUCACGCUUUUGCAUGUGAAUCGUCUCAUCAGGGGCACGAAUGGUGUCUUUUUUAUCUUAGUGAGCUCAGUCCCUGGCACAGUCCCUGUACGUAUCAGGCGCCCAGUAAAUAUUUGCUGAAUGAUUCAGCUGUGUGAGUGGUCAGAAACCAUUUUUUGUAGUGUCCGUAACAGCCUCCUGAAAUAUCCAGAAUGUGGUAUCUCCCGUCGCAUUAGCCACGUCUUUAUACUUUGCAAAGUAAGAAGGAUGCCUAGUAACACCGACUGAUCUCCCAAAUCCACCGGCUUCCAGAAGCUGUUUCCAAUCCGCUACACUUUCUAUAUUCUAAAAUAGAACUGAGAGUCGGGCUGCCUCUUGGGAGGAGAAACAGGUGACAGCAAUACUUAACAUGGAGUACAUGGGUUUCAGAAGUUCGUGGACCUCCUAAAAUUAUGGACAAUAUUUGGUUGAUCUACCAACUGAUGCUGCUGAAUGUUCAACCUGCCAGCAAGAAAGAUGACAACUGAACCCCUGAUUUGACACCAUCCCUCAAGUAGAUCAUUCAGCCUCUUUGAGGUGUAAUACAUGAGUCUGGAAAUGAAGAAGUGGAAGUAGGAAUGACCCUGCUUUGUGCAUCCCAUCCCCUCAACUCUGGGCUCUAUGAGUUUAGAAAUCCUGGUUUCCAAAGGGGAAUGCUUCCACCAAGAGACACAACAGGAGUCCCAUUGAACUUCAAGCUACAGUUGCUGCCUGAGCAUUCAGACUCCUAUGUCGAGAGAUCAGCAGACAUGAAGAGAAGUCACCAUCUUGGCGGGGGUAGUAGACCCCAAUAAUCAGCAGGAAGUUGGGAUUCUGUUACACAGUGAGAGCAGAAAGGACCAGGUUUGGCACCCAAGCAAUCCACUUGGGUAUCCCGUGGUGCUUCCUUACGUGAUUUUGUAAAUGGAUAAGUACAUCAACCACAGCUUAAAAAGAGUAUUGGUACCAGGGCCCAAGAUCCCUCAGGUAUAAGGGUCUGGGUCACCUCACCGGGUAAACCACCUAGACUAGCAGAGGCACUAACUGAGGAUGAGAGGAAUCUAUGUUUGGAUAGUAGAAGCCAGAGACAAUGAGUAUAGUUGGGGCCUCAAGAUCAGCUGCAGUGGUGGAGGCUGUAUUUGGUCCCACUCUUCUCUCCUUACAAGCUUCCCUCAGGAAAAGAGGCCCACCAGAACCUGGAAGGCCUGUGUCCGCUUACACAACUAAGUGAUUCCAAAGGGCACAAAAAGUGGACUGUAGAGGACACAGUGAUUCACUUCCCAUAUGGGAAGUGAAGGACUCAUUCCCCCAAGCCACUGGGACUUUUCUCUAAGAAGCUUCCUCAGCUGAAGAGAGCGAUUUUGCCCGAGGUCACUUCUCAGGAUAGCUUGCAUCCAAAGACUGGUUGAUAUUGUGGUAUAAAGGCCUGGCCACCUCACUCCAACUCAGGACACCUCCGAAGUGCUAACCUAGCUUCAGAGCUCCUCAUGGAAUUGGUUGAAGCAUUUGUUGAAACUGCAUCAGAGCCCAACUUCUCCCUCUCCCCAAUCCUGCUACCUUUGCUUUCCCACAUGUGUUGAUCCUGAGGGCACUCUCAUAAACGUCCUGCGCGCCAACCUCCAUCUCACAGCCCACUUCCUGGGAACCCCACCCUGAAACAAUGCCCAUGUGUACAUACAAAAUUUCUGGAAGAAUACACAAGAAGUUGUUAAAUGUAAUUAUCGCAGAGUAGUAGGACUGGUGGUUGGGGAUUAUGGGAAGAAGACCGUUUCUUUUUUAAUAAAAAAAUAUUAAGUAUGAUUAUUAGUGAAAGCUAACAAAGAGUCAAAGAAAAAAAAGAGGGAGAUUUUACUUCACUUUCUUUUCUUCCUAGAUUGCUCUGCUGCCACAUGGUAAGCAAUCUAAAAUUUAUUGAAGUAAAUUAUUUUUAUCCCUUGGGAAAAAGCACACUAUAGUGCCACUGCUAAAACAUCACAGUGUGCCCCAAAAGAAAAAUGGACAAAUAUGAACAGACAAUUCACAAAAAAGGAAAUUCAGUUAGGUAAUAAAUAGUUAAAAACAAUAUUUACUUCAUGAGUAUCAGUGAAAUCCCAAUUAAAAUGUGAUUAACUAAUAAAAGAGUUCAAUUAAGAAUCCUAAUCAGGGACCAGCCCUGUGGCCGAGCGGUUAAGUUCGUGCUCUCCGUUUCAGCGGCCCAGGGUUUCGCCGGUUCAAAUCCUGGGCACGGACAUGGCACUGCUCGUCAAGCCACACUGAGGCAGUGUGCCACAUGCCACAAGUAGAAGGACCCACAACUAAAAAUCUACAACUAUGUACCAGGGGGCUUUGGGGA